UACGUAGGAGGCGAGCGUUGUCCGGAAUUACUGGGCGUAAAGCGCGCGUAGGCGGCGCGACGCGACCGGUGUGAAAGCCCCCGGCUCAACUGGGGAGGGUCAUCGGUAACGGUCGUGCUGUGAGUGCAGGAGAGGGAUGUGGAACUCCGGGAGUAGCGGUGAAAUGCGUAGAGAUCCGGAGGAACACCAAAGGCGAAGGCAGUGUCCUGGGGAGUACCUGACGCUCAGGUGCGAAAGCCAGGGGAGCGAACGGG
rnacentral:rRNA from 1 species